AGCUCAUACAAAGCAAACUGCCUGCAAAUCGACCAGUGACAACGCACCCAGAAAGCAAAUGGCUAAAAAAGCCACUCGAGAGGGAGUGUACCCUCUACUUAAAGGGUGAAGAAACCUCAUCAUUAUAGGCCUGGUACUGUGGCACUCCUUGAAAUUAGACAUUAACAGAAGUCCCUUGAACUUAUGAUUUGCCAAAUUCCCUUACACCAUCAGCAUGAGAACUAGCUCAGAACUUUAAAACAGAUCUGCACUUCCAGAGCACAGCUAUUGGUGUUUUGCAGGAGGCAAGUGAAGCCCAUCUGGUUGGCCUUUUUGAAGACACCAAAUUGUGUGCUAUCCA
rnacentral:lncRNA from 1 species